UUUUUUUUGCAGGAAAAUUUAACAGUCAAGUCCUGUCUGCCUACAUGGGAGACCCCAUUGCCCUUAACUUUGGGAGAAACAGCUGCUGUCUCAUAUCCAAUUCCAGCAUAUUACAGAAUAUUUCCUAAAAAAGUCAGUCUUCUCAGCUGCCCUGCUGCCAUACAUACCUCUCUCCAGUUUCCAUAAAAGCAGAGAAGAAUUCCAGGUCCCAGGGAAGCAGAUGGGAGAUUUGUAAUCCAGUGGAUGCAAGACUGGAGAGUCCUCUGACAAAAGGGAGAGAGAACUCUCAUUUUCUGCUCCUCAAGUUCUUCAAGGCAGCAGCUACGAUGG